rnacentral:misc_RNA from 1 species
CCAAACUUGGUCAUUUAGAGGAAGUAAAAGUCGUAACAAGGUCUCCGUUGGUGAACCAGCGGAGGGAUCAUUACCGAGUUUACAACUCCCAAACCCACUGUGAACCUAUACCUCGUACCGUUGCUUCGGCGGGUUCUCUUUCGCCCCGGAACCAGGUCUUCCCCCCUUCCCCAGGGGGGGCGGCCAGGACCGGAACCAGGCGCCCGCCGGGGGACCCAAACUCUUGUAUUUCGAACUUUUGGAACGUCUGAGUGGAAUCAUUUUACACAAUGAAUCAAAACUUUCAACAACGGAUCUCUUGGCUCUGGCAUCGAUGAAGAACGCAGC